rnacentral:rRNA from 1 species
UACGUAGGCAGCAAGCGUUGUUCGGAGUUACUGGGCGUAAAGGGUGUGUAGGCGGUUCCUUAAGUUUGCUGUGAAAUCUCCCGGCUUAACCGGGAGGGUGCGGUGAAUACUGAGGGACUAGAGUACGGGAGAGGAAAGUGGAAUUCCCGGUGUAGCGGUGAAAUGCGCAGAUAUCGGGAGGAACACCAAUGGCGAAGGCAGCUCGCUGGGACGGUACUGACGCUGAGGCGCGAAAGCGUGGGGAGCAAACAGG